rnacentral:rRNA from 1 species
AGUGAACGCUGGCGGUAGGCCUAACACAUGCAAGUCGAACGGCAGCACAGUAAGAGCUUGCUCUUACGGGUGGCGAGUGGCGGACGGGUGAGGCAUACAUCGGAAUCUACUUUUUCGUGGGGGAUAACGUAGGGAAACUUACGCUAAUACCGCAUACGACCUACGGGUUAAAGCAGGGGAUCUUCGGACCUUGCGCGAUUGAAUGAGCCGGAUUCGGAUUAGCUAGUUGGCUGGGUAAAGGCCCACCAAGGCGACGAUCCGUAGCUGGUCUGAGAGGAUGAUCAGCCACACUGGAACUGAGACACGGUCCAGACUCCUACGGGAGGCAGCAGUGGGGAAUAUUGGACAAUGGGCGCAAGCCUGAUCCAGCCAUACCGCGUGGGUGAAGAAGGCCUUCGGGUCGUAAAGCCCUGUUGUUGGGAAAGAAAAGCAGCAGGUUAAUACCCGGCUGUUCUGACGGUACCCAAAGAAAAAGCACCGGCUAACUUCGUG